GCAUAUCAAUAAGCGGAGGAAAAGAAACCAACAGGGAUUGCCUCAGUAACGGCGAGUGAAGCGGCAACAGCUCAAAUUUGAAAUCUGGCCCUAGGCCCGAGUUGUAAUUUGCAGAGGAUGUUUCUGGCGAGGUGCCUUCCGAGUUCCCUGGAACGGGACGCCAUAGAGGGUGAGAGCCCCGUACGGUUGGUCGCUAAGCCUCUGUGAAACUCCUUCGACGAGUCGAGUAGUUUGGGAAUGCUGCUCUAAAUGGGAGGUAUACGUCUUCUAAAGCUAAAUACCGGCCAGAGACCGAUAGCGCACAAGUAGAGUGAUCGAAAGAUGAAAAGCACUUUGAAAAGAGGGUUAAAUAGUACGUGAAAUUGUUGAAAGGGAAGCGCUUAUGACCAGACUUGGACCGGUUGAUCAUCCAUCGUUCUCGGUGGUGCACUCUGCCGGUUCAGGCCAGCAUCAGUUUGUCCCGGGGGAUAAAGGCUUUGGGAAUGUGGCUCUUCGGAGUGUUAUAGCCCAUUGCGUAAUACCCUGGGAUAGACUGAGGUUCGCGCUCCGCAAGGAUGCUGGCGUAAUGGUCAUCAGUGACCCGUCUUGAAACACGGACC
rnacentral:rRNA from 1 species